GAGACAGCAGUAGCCGCGGUAAUACAGAGGGUGCAAGCGUUAAUCGGAAUUACUGGGCGUAAAGCGCGCGUAGGUGGUUUGUUAAGUUGGAUGUGAAAUCUCCGGGCUCAACCUGGGAACUGCAUCCAAAACUGGCAAGCUAGAGUAUGGUAGAGGGUGGUGGAAUUUCCUGUGUAGCGGUGAAAUGCGUAGAUAUAGGAAGGAACACCAGUGGCGAAGGCGACCACCUGGACUGAUACUGACACUGAGGUGCGAAAGCGUGGGGAGCAAACAGGAUUAGAUACCCCUGUAGUCCCUGUCUCUUAUAC
rnacentral:rRNA from 1 species